UUCCUGAUAUGCAGACUAAUUUAUCUUGUGGUGUUUAGUUUACAGAUGGAGUCAGUGUUCCAGUUUGUUGGGAUGCAAAUGAAACAUUAGACCAGGGCAGAUAAGGAGAAAUGAGAAGGAAAUACAAGCAAAUUAGCCAAUGAUAUCUUAAUGAAUGUUUUGUGAUCUAACUCUUUGCAGAAAACACGAUUGACUGCUGACAGGACUCACCAGUAAAGCCAGACACAACUGAAGGCAUUCAGAUGAUCAACACAAGUGGCUCCACUGUGACAGGGAUCACUAAGACACUCAUCCACCUCAAUCUCACAGUUAUUACCUGGAAACACGAAGGAUUCACUUUAUUAGGAACAUGCCACUGGUUGUUUCAUCUAAAUGGAUGCCUACAUUAGGAUGCAGAGCAGCAAUUUAAGAGAUGCUGGAGGCUCCACAUGGUUGUGACAAGCAGGCAGUAAUAUUUACUUCACAAAACUGACCAGUAAAACCUGAUGAAAAAUAAAGCAGAAGACAUAAAGACUUUAUUAUGAGAGUUAGUACAAGA